rnacentral:rRNA from 1 species
UGUGCAGAAGAAGGACCGGCCAACUACGUGCCAGCAGCCGCGGUAAUACGUAGGGUCCGAGCGUUGUCCGGAAUUACUGGGCGUAAAGAGCUCGUAGGUGGUUUGUCGCGUUGUUCGUGAAAACUCACAGCUUAACUGUGGGCGUGCGGGCGAUACGGGCAGACUUGAGUACUGCAGGGGAGACUGGAAUUCCUGGUGUAGCGGUGGAAUGCGCAGAUAUCAGGAGGAACACCGGUGGCGAAGGCGGGUCUCUGGGCAGUAACUGACGCUGAGGAGCGAAAGC